GGUGGUCCUCCAUGUUCAAAUUCACCUCGGCGCCAUCUGCAUCCUGCAGCAACUCCCUUGGGAUCUCCCUGCACGCGGAGGCAGAAAAGCAUCGACAAAUAUAGAGCAGGCCACAUCCCGAUUCCCGUAGCUACACCUGCGAGCGCUCACCCCUGGCGGAUGGCCUGGAGAAAUGCCUGGCUGCCCGGGUCGUCGUAGGCGUGCAGCGGCCCGUCGUCGAUGCUGAAGCCGUCCUGCCACAUCUUGAGCACCCGCGAGACGGACGACCGGCGCGGCAUGGCCGUCGGAGACACGGCCUCGCUGCCCGUCGCGGUGUCGCCCAGUCGGUGACCCGUCCCCUGGAACCAGCUG